rnacentral:rRNA from 1 species
GCUUGCUCUCUGAUUUUAGCGGCGGACGGGUGAGUAACACGUGGGCAACCUGCCCUACAGAUGGGGAUAACUCCGGGAAACCGGGGCUAAUACCGAAUAAUCAGUUUGUCCGCAUGGACAAACUCUGAAAGACGGUUUCGGCUGUCACUGUAGGAUGGGCCCGCGGCGCAUUAGCUAGUUGGUGGGGUAAUGGCCUACCAAGGCGACGAUGCGUAGCCGACCUGAGAGGGUGAUCGGCCACACUGGGACUGAGACACGGCCCAGACUCCUACGGGAGGCAGCAGUAGGGAAUCUUCCACAAUGGACGAAAGUCUGAUGGAGCAAUGCCGCGUGAGCGAAGAAGGUUUUCGGAUCGUAAAGCUCUGUUGUAAGGGAAGAACAAGUACGGGAGUAACUGCCCGUGCCAUGACGGUACCUUAUUAGAAAGCCACGGCUAACUACGUGCCAGCAGCCGCGGUAAUA